rnacentral:rRNA from 1 species
AGGGACAGCAGUCGCCGCGGUAAUACGUAGGUGGCAAGCGUUGUCCGGAAUUAUUGGGCGUAAAGGGCCCGCAGGCGGUUUCUUAAGUCUGAUGUGAAAGCCCCCGGCUCAACCGGGGAGGGUCAUUGGAAACUGGGAAACUUGAGUGCAGAAGAGGAGAGUGGAAUUCCACGUGUAGCGGUGAAAUGCGUAGAGAUGUGGAGGAACACCAGUGGCGAAGGCGACUCUCUGGUCUGUAACUGACGCUGAGGAGCGAAAGCGUGGGGGGCGAACAGGAUUAGAUACCCGCGUAGUCCCUGUCUCUUAUAC